AGGGAAGGCGGGGGGCAUGCUUUACACAUGCAAGUCGAACGGUAACUGGCCGCAAGGUGCUGACGAGUGGCGAACGGGUGAGUAAUGCAUCGGAACGUGCCCAGUCGUAGGGGAUAACUACUCGAAAGAGUAGCUAAUACCGCAUACGAUCUAUGGAUGAAAGCGGGGGACCGUAAGGCCUCGCGCGAUUGGAGCGGCCGAUGUCAGAUUAGGUAGUUGGUGGGGUAAAGGCUCACCAAGCCAACGAUCUGUAGCUGGUCUGAGAGGACGACCAGCCACACUGGGACUGAGACACGGCCCAGACUCCUACGGGAGGCAGCAGUGGGGAAUUUUGGACAAUGGGCGCAAGCCUGAUCCAGCAAUGCCGCGUGCAGGAAGAAGGCCUUCGGGUUGUAAACUGCUUUUGUACGGAACGAAACGGCUCUGGUUAAUACCCGGGGCUAAUGACGGUACCGUAAGAAUAAGCACCGGCUAACUACGUG
rnacentral:rRNA from 1 species